ACUUGUUUCCCAGAUCACCUGCUCAUGCCCAAUCUCAUCUGAUCUCAGAAGCCAAGCAGGGUCAGGCCUGGUUAGUAUUUGGAUGGGAGACUGCCUGGGGAUACAGGGUGCUGUAGGCU
rnacentral:rRNA from 1 species